CGAACGGGUGAGUAACGCGUGAGUAGCCUGCCCUAGAGUGGGGGACAACAGUUGGAAACGACUGCUAAUACCGCAUAAGCCCACGGAUCCGCAUGGAUCUGCGGGAAAAGGAUUUAUUCGCUUUAGGAUGGACUCGCGUCCAAUUAGCUAGUUGGUGAGGUAACGGCCCACCAAGGCGACGAUUGGUAGCCGGACUGAGAGGUUGAACGGCCACAUUGGGACUGAGACACGGCCCAG
rnacentral:rRNA from 1 species